GUCAAAAAGAGAAAGGUAGGGGGACGCGAACGAAAACGAGCUACUUAUGAAGCACAUGCGAGGAGUAGGCCUUGUUUGAAUCCUAAUUCGAGCAAACCAAUUGUAAAAUUUUCUUUAAGACGCAUCGGGAAUUUUUAAAUGCAGGAUUAAUAUUCUUCAAUGAAAUCAGUGCCAGAUUAUUUUUUAGAAGCUUAUGGUGACGAUGUGGUUGUGUUUUUAGAUUGCUCUAUUUUGUGGAAAUAAAUAUAAAUGCUUAGGGAUUAAAUAAUGUCAAAAUGGCUUCAAAAUACGUGGAUGACUAGGAUUUGCUUCAGAAUAAUUUCAGCGGUAGAGAGAGAGAUGGGAGGGGUAUAAUUGGGACCCUAGAUUAAUAAUUGUUUAAACUGAGGGGUGGGCAGAUGGGGUUUCUUGUAUUUGUCUUUUUCCCAUGGUAUAUAUUUGAAAUUUUUCUGAAUUCUGAAGUCAUUUUUUUCGAUAGCUUAAAAAAACGUGUGGGGGGGAGCAGUGGGUGGGGUUACAGAUGAAACAAGAUGGCCUUCAGUUGGUAAUUGUUGGAGCUGGAUGAUGGAUUCGCAUCCGCUUGUACUGCUCUUCUUUUACAAUUUUUUUAUUUCACAUUAUCCUUAAUAGAAAUUAGUUAUUUUUUUUCUAAAAUUGAUAAACAUGCAAUAAAGUACAUUUAUUUGAAAAUAAAACCACAAGAAAAUAAAAUUUGUACAUUAUUAGCUUUGAUGCUCUUUGUGUGAGAUAAAAUUGUAUUUACUGAUGGAAAAGAAAAUCACCAUCUCAUAUUUUUUUUGUCCUUUUCCAUCUCUUUGUUUGACCUUCUAGGUCAUCAUCAGAAAAGCUAAGUUUGCUAUACAGUAAGGAUCAGGAGAUCUGACCCUGGUUGCAGAACCAUUCCUGGUUGCAGAAUACAGGGUUGUAUUCCCACUUCAUCUUUCCAGACCAUCCUAGGAGAUCUGUAAGAUUCCAUCUGGGAGAUUACUAGGAAUCCUUGGAAGGGAGAGAAGGAACAUUGUUGGUUGGAAUAAAAACAGGGUUGAAUGAGUUCCAGAAAGCAGGCUUCUCAAACUCGUGGACAACAAUCUGCUGAAGAAGACAACUUUAAGAAACCCACUCGCAGCAAUAUGCAGAGAAGUAAGAUGAGAGGAGCUGCCUCAGGAAAGAAGUCAGCUGGUUCGCAGCCGAAGAAUCUUGAUCCAGCCCUCCCAGGAAGAUGGGGAGGUCGCUCUGCUGAGAACCCCCCUUCUGGUUCUGUGCGGAAGACAAGGAAGAACA
rnacentral:lncRNA from 1 species